rnacentral:rRNA from 1 species
UACGUAGGGUGCAAGCGUUAAUCGGAAUUACUGGGCGUAAAGCGUGCGCAGGCGGCUAUGCAAGACAGAUGUGAAAUCCCCGGGCUCAACCUGGGAACUGCGUUUGUGACCGCAUGGCUAGAGUACGGUAGAGGGGGAUGGAAUUCCGCGUGUAGCAGUGAAAUGCGUAGAUAUGCGGAGGAACACCGAUGGCGAAGGCAAUCCCCUGGACCUGUACUGACGCUCAUGCACGAAAGCGUGGGGAGCAAACAGG